ACUCAACACAACAGAAAAAAAUAUUUUAUAAAAUUUUGAUAAAUUGUAUUUAACUUUAAAUGACUCACUACGACAGCCCUGAUUCUGGUAUGCAUAGUCGAACGCGGGUGCACCCGAUGAAUUAAGCGUGAACUUAAAUGAACUGAUAAAUGAAUUGAAUGAGUUGGAAAUGAAACGGAAUGAAUGAAUUUGAUUUGAACAUAUUUCGUUCAUUUCUUUAUCCUUUCCUUCUGUUUUUAUAUUCAUCAUUUUAUCAUCUUCAAUUUUACUUUUCCAGUUUUAUUCGUGCAUUGCUAUAGCUCCAGUUAGUCUGAUUUAUUUGGAAUUUCAGUACAAAUUCAAUUGGUUUGCGUAGUUUAUUAAAUGCUCAAUGGUCUUUCCGAUCUAUCUUCUUGUUGUGUUGUGAAGUCGUCGGUUGAUUUAUAAAAAUAAAAAUAAUGACGGUCGCCUCAGCAAAUGAAGAAUCAUCUGUAAAUUAAAAGAAGUGCCGUUUAUCAUUGCGCGCCCCCCAUAAUCAAACCAAACUUAAUCACAAUGCGUAUGCUAUGAAUUUGUUUUGUUAUUCCAUUUUUUGUGUAUAAAUAGAAAUGCUUUAUUAAAAGAAUCAAGAAAGUUAUUUACAAAUAAUCUCAUUUCGGAGCAUUUCCGAGUUCUAAAAAUGUAUACCAGAUUAAAAUGAUUCUUAAUUAAGAGAAAAAAAAGAAGGAAAAUCCCGAAAAGGGUGUGUUCGAGUGAAAAUCGAAAUAUUCCUGUUCUUUUUCAUAUAUAAACCCACAAAUCAUAAGGAUUAACAAUAAAAAAAAAAGAGUGGGCAAACAACCACACACCAGUUAUUCCCACUUGGUACAACAACUUGAUUAUUUCUCAUAAAUUUGUUUCUAAAAAGAAGUAA